rnacentral:rRNA from 1 species
GAUGGACGCUGGCGGCGUGCCUAAUACAUGCAAGUCGAGCGAACAGACGAGGAGCUUACUCCUCUGACGUUAGCGGCGGACGGGUGAGUAACACGUGGAUAACCUACCUAUAAGACUGGGAUAACUUCGGGAAACCGGAGCUAAUACCGGAUAACAUGUUGAACCGCAUGGUUCAACAGUGAAAGACGGUCUUGCUGUCACUUAUAGAUGGAUCCGCGUCGCAUUAGCUAGUUGGUAAGGUAACGGCUUACCAAGGCAACGAUGCGUAGCCGACCUGAGAGGGUGAUCGGCCACACUGGAACUGAGACACGGUCCAGACUCCUACGGGAGGCAGCAGUAGGGAAUCUUCCGCAAUGGGCGAAAGCCUGACGGAGCAACGCCGCGUGAGUGAAGAAGGUCUUCGGAUCGUAAAACUCUGUUAUUAGGGAAGAACAAAUGUGUAAGUAACUAUGCACGUCUUGACGGUACCUAAUCAGAAAGCCACGGCUAACUACGUG